rnacentral:rRNA from 1 species
UACGUAGGGGGCAAGCGUUGUCCGGAAUUAUUGGGCGUAAAGAGCGUGUAGGCGGUCCGGUAAGUCAGCUGUGAAAGUCAAGGGCUCAACCCUUGAAAGCCGGUUGAUACUGUCGGGCUAGAGUCCGGAGGAGGCGAGUGGAAUUCCCGGUGUAGCGGUGAAAUGCGCAGAUAUCGGGAGGAACACCAAUGGCGAAGGCAGCUUUCUGGGACGGUACUGACGCUGAGACGCGAAAGCGUGGGGAGCGAACAGG